UACGAAGGGGGCUAGCGUUGUUCGGAAUUACUGGGCGUAAAGCGUACGUAGGCGGGUAUUUAAGUCAGGGGUGAAAUCCCAGAGCUCAACUCUGGAACUGCCUUUGAUACUGGGUACCUAGAGUAUGGAAGAGGUAUGUGGAAUUCCGAGUGUAGAGGUGAAAUUCGUAGAUAUUCGGAGGAACACCAGUGGCGAAGGCGGCUUACUGGUCCAUUACUGACGCUGAGGUGCGAAAGCGUGGGGAGCAAACAGG
rnacentral:rRNA from 1 species